AGGGAAUAUAUUAUUAUUAUUUUUCCAACUCAAACUUGACAAGGCUCUCCUCUCUCUCCUCUCACUCUCCUUCCCAUGCUCCCACUGUCCCACACUUGUAUCUUAUCUAAUUCUUUUCUUAUCUCUCUCCUUCACCUAGGUUCGUCCGCUUCUCUCUCUCUCUUUCUUCUCUUUCUCUCUCUGUGUGCAAGACCAAAGCUCCGACCGCCUCCGACUUUUGAUUUCGAGCCAACGACCGCCUUUGACAUCACUUUCGUUUGACUUGAAGAAGAAGAUGAAGCUUUGAGAUUUGGGGCCCAGACUCUUCAUCGUCAACACCCACCCACUCUGGAUUUGGGAUCUUGUUCAGCCUCAGCUAUAGUGAAGAAGCCCCAGCUCAUUCUCCACCAGUGAUAGUGCUGCUAAUUAAAUAGAUCCAGGAAUUGCUUACAUCGGUGAUUGUGAUUUUUGGAUUCGACCCAGAAGAGAUUAGUACCUUGAAAUAACUUGGUGCAAAGAAUGGGAGCUAAUCCUUGACCUGAUUCUCUCAGAUACGCAUAAGUCGCAAUAUAAAAACCUUCAACUGAAGGAACUCUCUUGGCAAUAAUGGCAUAAUCAAAACGAAAGCUUUUUUUGAAGAAGAUAGAAAGCUAGCAAGAGAGAUGAAAUGAAUUUAUCGUAUAUGUAUAUAUUGGUUCUUUUCAUGAAUUUGAUCUUAAGGGAAAUUCUAUGGUACCUACCCGUAUGUGAUACCUAUAUUUACAAAUGUGACAACAUAUUUAUAAUCAAAGUGGUAAUACUGAGUCGUAUU